rnacentral:rRNA from 1 species
UACGUAGGGUGCGAGCGUUAAUCGGAAUUACUGGGCGUAAAGCGUGCGCAGGCGGUUAUGUAAGACAGGUGUGAAAUCCCCGGGCUUAACCUGGGAACUGCAUUUGUGACUGCAUAGCUAGAGUACGGUAGAGGGGGAUGGAAUUCCGCGUGUAGCAGUGAAAUGCGUAGAGAUGUGGAGGAACACCGAUGGCGAAGGCAGCCCCCUGGGUUAACACUGACGCUCAGGCACGAAAGCGUGGGGAGCAAACAGG